rnacentral:rRNA from 1 species
GACGAACGCUGGCGGCAUGCCUAACACAUGCAAGUCGAACGGAGAUUAUUUCGGUAAUCUUAGUGGCGAACGGGUGAGUAACGCGUGGGCAACCUGCCCUCUAGAUGGGGACAACAUCCCGAAAGGGGUGCUAAUACCGAAUGUGACAGCAAUCUCGCAUGAGGAUGCUGUGAAAGAUGGCCUCUAUUUAUAAGCUAUCGCUAGAGGAUGGGCCUGCGUCUGAUUAGCUAGUUGGUGGGGUAACGGCCUACCAAGGCGAUGAUCAGUAGCCGGUCUGAGAGGAUGCACGGCCACAUUGGGACUGAGACACGGCCCAGACUCCUACGGGAGGCAGCAGUGGGGAAUCUUCCGCAAUGGGCGAAAGCCUGACGGAGCAAUGCCGCGUGAGUGAUGAAGGAAUUCGUUCCGUAAAGCUCUUUUGUUUAUGACGAAUGUGCAGAUUGUGAACAAUGAUCUGUAAUGACGGUAGUAAACGAAUAAGCCACGGCUAACUACGUG